rnacentral:rRNA from 1 species
CCCUUAGAUGUUCUGGGCCGCACGCGCGCUACAGUGAUGAAUUCAACGAGUUUAUAACCUUGGUUGAAAAGCCUGGGUAAUCUUUUGAACUUUCGUCGUGAUGGGGCUAUACCCUUGCAAUUAUUGGUCUCCAACGAGGAAUUCCUAGUAAACGCAAGUCAUCAGCUUGCAUUGAUUACGUCCCUGCCCUUUGUACACACCGCCCGUCGCACCUACCGAUUGAAUGGUCCGGUGAAAUCUUCGGAUUGAGACUUUGAUUUCUUCACGGAAAACGCUGUUUUAAAAAGUUGAUUAAACCUUACCAUUUAGAGGAAGGUGAAGUCGUAACA